rfam:Medicago truncatula strain A17 chromosome 2, whole genome shotgun sequence.
ACGUAGUGUGACAUGCCCGUUUGGGUUUUACUCUGAUUGUUGAAAUAUUAUCAUUUAAUUGAUUUUGGGAAACGGGGUGUUACAAUUUUG